rnacentral:rRNA from 1 species
AUUGAACGCUGGCGGCAGGCCUAACACAUGCAAGUCGAGCGAGCGGCGGACGGGUGAGUAAUGUCUGGGAAACUGCCUGAUGGAGGGGGAUAACUACUGGAAACGGUAGCUAAUACCGCAUACCAUCAGAUGUUCCCAGAUGGGAUUAGCUAGUAGGUGGGGUAAUGGCUCACCUAGGCGACGAUCCCUAGCUGGUCUGAGAGGAUGAGCAGCCACACGGGAACUGAGACACGGCCCAGACUCCGACGGGAGGCAGCAGUGGGGAAUAUUGCACAAGGGGCGCAAGCCUGAUGCAGCCAUGCCGCGUGUAUGAAGAAGGCCUUAGGGUUGUAAAGUACUUUCAGCGGGGAGGCGUUACCGGCAGAAGAAGCACCGGCUAACUCCGUGCCAGCAGCCGCGGUAAUUC